rnacentral:lncRNA from 1 species
AUGAGAAAUAGAUUUAAGGGCCUAGAUCUGAUAGAUAGAGUGCCUGAUGAACUAUGGAAUGAGGUUCAUGACAUUGUACAGGAGACAGGGAUCAAGACCAUGCCCAUGGAAAAGAAAUGCAAAAAAGCAAAAUGGCUGUCUGGGGAGGCCUUACAAAUAGCUGUGAAAAGAAGAGAAGUGAAAAGCAAAGGAGAAAAGGAAAGAUAUAAGCAUCUGAAUGCAGAGUUCCAAAGAACAGCAAGGAGAGAUAAGAAAGCCUUCUUCAGCAAUCAAUGCAAAGAAAUAGAGGAAAACAACAGAAUGGGAAAGACUAGCGAUCUCUUCAAGAAAAUUAGAGAUACCAAGGGAAUAUUUCAUGCAAAGAGGGGCUCGAUAAAGGACAGAAAUGGUAUGGACCUAACAGAAGCAGAAGAUACUAAGAAGAGGUGGCAAGAAUACACAGAAGAACUGUACAAAAAAGGUCUUCAAGACCCAGAUAAUCACGAUGGUGUGAUCACUCACCUACAGCCAGACAUCCUGGAAUGUGAAGUCAAGUGGGCCUUAGAAAGCAUCACUACAAACAAAGCUAGUGGAGGUGAUGGAAUUCCAGUUGAGCUAUUUCAAAUCCUGAAAGAUGAUGCUGUGAAAGUGCUGCACUCAACAUGCCAGCAAAUUCGGAAAACUCAGCAGUGGCCACAGGACUGGAAAAUGUCAGUUUUCACUCCAAUCCCAAAGAAAGGCAAUGCCAAAGAAUGCUCAAACUACCACACAAUUGCACUCAUCUCACAUGCUAGUAAAGUAAUGCUCAAAAUUCUCCAAGUCAGGCUUCAACAAUAUGUGAACCGUGAACUUCCUGAUGUUCAAGAUGGUUUUAGAAAAGGCAGAGGAACCAGAGAUCAAAUUGCCAACAUCCGCUGGAUCAUCAAAAAGGCAAGAGAGUUCCAGAAAAACAUCUAUUUCUGCUUUAUUGACUAUGCCAAAGCCUUUGACUGUGUGAAUCACAAUAAACUGUGGAAAAUUCUGAGGGAGAUGGGAAUACCAGACCACCUGACCUGCCUCUUGAGAAAUCUGUAUGCAGGUCAGGAAGCAACAGUUAGAACUGGACAUGGAACAACAGACUGGUUCCAAAUAGGAAAAGGAGUACGUCAAGGCUGUAUAUUGUCACCCUUCUUAUUUCACUUCUAUGCAGAGUACAUCAUGAGAAAUGCUGGACUGGAAGAAACACAAGCUGGAAUCAAGAUUGCCGGGAGAAAUAUCAAUCACCUCAGAUAUGCAGAUGACACCACCCUUAUGGCAGAAAGUGAAGAGGAACUAAAAAGCCUCUUGAUGAAAGUGAAAGAGGAGAGUGAAAAAGCUGGCUUAAAGCUCAACAUUCAGAAAAUGAAGACCAUGGCAUCUGGCCUGGUCACUUCAUGGGAAAUAGAUGGGGAAACAGUGGAAACAGUGUCAGACUUUAUUUUUCUGGGCUCCAAAAUCACUGCAGAUGGUGACUGCAGCCAUGAAAUUAAAAGAUGCUUACUCCUUGGAAGAAAAUUUGUGACCAACCUUGAUAGUAUAUUCAAAAGCAGAGACAUUACUUUGCCAACUAAGGUCCGUCUAGUCAAGGCUAUGGUUUUUCCAGUAGUCAUGUAUGGAUGUGAGAGUUGGACUGUGAAGAAGGCUGAGCGCCGAAGAAUUGAUGCUUUUGAAUUGUGGUGUUGGAGAAGACUCUUGAGAGUCCCUUAG